rnacentral:tRNA from 1 species
GGUAGCGUGGCCGAGGGGUACAAGGCGCUGGAUUUAGACUCCAGUCUCUUCGGAGGCGCAGUGUUUGAAUCCCUCCGCUGCCA